ensembl:snRNA U2 U2 spliceosomal RNA
AUCGCUUCUCGGCCUUUGGCUAAGAUCAAGUGUAGUAUCUGUUCUUAUCAGUUUAAAGAGAAAGUAGUGACUGUUAAUAAGUUAGGAUAGACACGUCUU